rnacentral:rRNA from 1 species
AACGAACGCUGGCGGCAUGCCUAACACAUGCAAGUCGAACGAGACCUUCGGGUCUAGUGGCGCACGGGUGCGUAACGCGUGGGAACCUGCCCUUAGGUUCGGAAUAACUCCCCGAAAGGGGUGCUAAUACCGGAUAAUGUCUUCGGACCAAAGAUUUAUCGCCUUUGGAUGGGCCCGCGUUGGAUUAGCUUGUUGGUAGGGUAAAAGCCUACCAAGGCGACGAUCCAUAGCUGGUCUGAGAGAAUGAUCAGCCACACUGGGACUGGGACACGGUCCAGACUCCUACGGGAGGCAGGAGUGGGGAAUAUUGGACAAUGGGCGAAAGCCUGAUCCAGCAAUGCCGCGUGAGUGAUGAAGGCCUUAGGGUUGUAAAGCUCUUUUACCCGGGAUGAUAAUGACAGUACCGGGAGAAUAAGCUCCGGCUAACUCCGUG